rnacentral:rRNA from 1 species
UACGAAGGUCCCAAGCGUUAUCCGGAAUCAUUGGGUUUAAAGGGUCCGUAGGCGGUUUAAUAAGUCAGUGGUGAAAGCCCAUCGCUCAACGGUGGAACGGCCAUUGAUACUGUUAAACUUGAAUUAUUAGGAAGUAACUAGAAUAUGUAGUGUAGCGGUGAAAUGCUUAGAGAUUACAUGGAAUACCAAUUGCGAAGGCAGGUUACUACUAAUGGAUUGACGCUGAUGGACGAAAGCGUGGGUAGCGAACAGG